rnacentral:rRNA from 1 species
CACACCGCCCGUCACAUCACGAAAGUGGGCUGCACUAGAAGCCGGUGGGCUAACCGCAAGGAAGCAGCCGUCCAAGGUGUAACCCAUGAUUGGGGUG